rnacentral:rRNA from 1 species
UACGAAGGGGGCUAGCGCUGCUCGGAAUUACUGGGCGUAAAGGGCGCGUAGGCGGACAGUUUAGUCAGAGGUGAAAGCCCAGGGCUCAACCUUGGAAUUGCCUUUGAUACUGGCUGUCUUGAGUUCGGGAGAGGUGAGUGGAAUGCCGAGUGUAGAGGUGAAAUUCGUAGAUAUUCGGCGGAACACCAGUGGCGAAGGCGACUCACUGGCCCGAUACUGACGCUGAGGCGCGAAAGCGUGGGGAGCAAACAGG